CGCAUCUGUGCAUGCAGCAUAUCAAUAGCGGAGGAAAAGAAACUAACAAGGAUUCCCUUAGUAACGGCGAGUGAAGCGGGAAGAGCUCAAAUUUGAAAUCUUCAAGGUUUUACCUUGACGAAUUGUAGUUUAAAGAAGUGUUUUCUGUUGAAGUUUUCGGUAAAAGUUCUUUGGAAUAGGACAUCAUAGAGGGUGAGAAUCCCGCUAUUUGACCAUUAUUUUCAGCUGUGUGAUACACUUUCAAAGAGUCGGAUUGUUUGGGAAUGCAGUCCAAAAUGGGUGGUAAAUUUCAUCUAAAGCUAAAUAUUGGCGAGAGACCGAUAGCGAACAAGUACCGUGAGGGAAAGAUGAAAAGAACUUUGAAAAGAGAGUUAAACAGUACGUGAAAUUGUCAAAAGGGAAGCGUUUGACACCAGUGUUGUUUUCUCGAAAAUCAAUUAAAAAGAGUUUGAUUUUGUGUUGUAUUGACCUUAACAGCUUGCAUUUCAAUUUUCUUGCUUUUUUUAAUGCACUUUUCGUUUAACAAGUCAACAUCAGUUUCUUUUGUUGUAAAAAGGUCAUUGGAAGGUGGCUUUCUUUUCGGAGAAAGUGUUUAUAGCCUUUGACUCCUGCAAUCGGAGAGACUGAGGUCUGCAGCGUAGAUCCUUCGGGGUUAGAUACAUUUGUGCUAAGUUAUAGCUUUUUAUAGACAACUUGUUGACUAUGAUUAGUCUUGUAGCUUACUCGCUUAUGCUAUUUUACCUACGCUUAGGAUGUUGACGCGCGUGUGUGCGUGAGUCUAUACAUGACUCUGUGCAUAUCAAUAAGCGGAGGAAAAGGGCUACCUACGCUUAGGAUGUUGACGCGCGUGUGUGCGUGAUCUAUACAUGACUCUGCGCAUAUCAAUAAGCGGAGGAAAAGAGGGCUAUUACCUACGCUUAGGAUGUUGAAGCCAUCGCAUCUGUGCAUGCAGCAUAUCAAUAAGCGGAGGAAAAGGCGUACCUACGCUUAGGAUGUUGACGCGCGUGUGUGCGUG
rnacentral:rRNA from 1 species